rnacentral:rRNA from 1 species
ACCAGACUCCUACGGGAGGCAGCAGUGAGGAAUAUUGGUCAAUGGCCGAGAGGCUGAACCAGCCAAGUCGCGUGAGGGAAGACGGCCCUACGGGUUGUAAACCUCUUUUGUCGGGGAGCAAAGCGAACCACGUGUGGUUCAUUGAGAGUACCCGAAGAAAAAGCAUCGGCUAACUCCGUGCCAGCAGCCGCGGUAAUACGGAGGGUGCGAGCGUUAUCCGGAUUUAUUGGGUUUAAAGGGUGCGUAGGCGGGCUGUUAAGUCGGCGGUCAAAUGUCGGGGCUCAACCCCGGCCUGCCGUUGAAACUGGCGGCCUCGAGUGGGCGAGAAGUAUGCGGAAUGCGUGGUGUAGCGGUGAAAUGCAUAGAUAUCACGCAGAACUCCGAUUGCGAAGGCAGCAUACCGGCGCCCUACUGACGCUGAGGCACGAAAGCGUGGGUAUCGAACAGGAUUAGAUACCCCUGUA